AUCCAUUUCGUUUUUCCUUGGACAUUUCAGCUUUAAUUUUCCCUUUAUUUGCUAAACAACAACGCUAAUGUUUUAUACAAAGCAAUGCAAAAACCAAAUAUCCAAUCAAAGCUGAUCAUGUCUCGCCAUAUUUUGCAUAGUCCAACAGCUAAAGCCGUGCAAUAUGACAAUACAUAUGGAAAAGGGAAACCAGCAAAGAAAACAAAACCACCAGUGACUUGAGACUCUAAAGGAAAUAUUAUUUUCUAACCUUUAUAAACGAUGUGUUCUCGUAACCGAAUAUAUCCUCAAGAUUCGACUAUGUUAAGCCUACAACAGAAUCAUUACCCUCCAUCUCGUGCCAGUUUAACACCUGACAGCAUGUGGCAUCUGCAUUCUCACAUAAACCAUAUAAGACAGUACGAGGAUGGAAAAGCUGAGCCAUGUCAGCUGUAUAUGCCAAAAAUCACUUAACUAUUACCAAUCUUCUUAGCAUCUUUAAGCAGCUACUGCUACCUUCUGAACACCUUUCUUUUCUGUUUUAAGAGGGGGUGCCACUUCAGGUUUCUCAAUUCCUUGUAUAUCCGUAAUCCUCAAUUUUGUUAAUUCAUAAAAAUGAAUAGGAAACGAGGAUGAGAAGUAACAGCGUGUAUAAAACAUAGCUGUGUUUCAGGCAGUAUGUUCAUUGUGGAUGAAUCAAUGACUAACCUGUCGAUGUCCUCGUGUUCGCAACAGGAAAAGAGGAUGAGAAGUAACGGCUGGACAGGGUAGAAAUAUAAAUUCCAUUAAUAUGGGGAAUAAGCUCAACCAAUUCGAUGGGUAGAAACAUAGCUGUGCAUCAAGCAGUAUGUUCAUUGUUGAUGAACCCAUGACUAACCUGUCGAUGCCCUCGUGUUCGCCGAUAAUUCUUCCGUCUCCUCUUCUUGAAUAUAAGUACUUUAGCAUCUAAUGCCUGGACCAAGAGAAGGACAGAUUAAAUUUCCUAAUCUCUCUGGAAUGAAAUAAGAUGUGUGUGUGCGCGCACGCGCAGAUGAAGCAAGUUAUGCGAACAUCCAAGCAAAGCCUGAAGAACUGAACCUAGUUCCACAUCUGUGGCAUUCCUCGAAUCAGCUGAAGUUUCUGUAAAUUACACAAGCCACUCUUGAGGUAUUAUAUAUUAUUACAUCCGUCCCAAUUUAUGUGACACUUCCUUUUUUAGUCAAUCCCAAAAAGAAUGACACCUUAAAAAAUUCUAUGAU
rnacentral:lncRNA from 1 species